rnacentral:rRNA from 1 species
GACGAACGCUGGCGGCGUGCUUAACACAUGCAAGUCGAACGAAGUGGCGAACGGGUGAGUAACGCGUAAUCAACCUGCCCUUCAGAGGGGGAUAACAGUUGGAAACGACUGCUAAUACCGCAUACUGAAGGAGGGGAUUGCGUUUGAUUAGCUAGUUGGAGGGGUAACGGCCCAACAAGGCGAUGAUCAGUAGGCGGGCUGAGGGGGUGAACGGGCACAAUGGGACUGGGGAACGGGCCAGACUGCUUCGGGAGGGAGCAGUGGGGAAUCUUCGGAAAUGGAGGAAAGUCUGACGGAGCAACUCCGCGUGAGUGAUGAAGGCCUUCGGGUUGUAAAGCUCUGUUAAUCGGGAAGCGGUACCGGAAUAGAAAGCCACGGCUAACUACGUGCCAGCAGCCGCGGUAAUAC